rnacentral:lncRNA from 1 species
ACGUGACCCACUAAGGAUUCUGCUCCAAGGACAGUGGGUUUCCCGCUGGGCACCCACUCUUAAGUGCAGAUCGGGAGACUAAGACAGGAACACCCGCCGUGGGCAGGCCAGGCUGGAAGGAUAGAGGACUGUGGUCGAACCAAGGGGAGGUUCAACUGUGACUUAUGCCAGUGUGGUCACGAAGGCAGAUGGGUUGAACUGAAAAGGGGGCACCGGUUCCUGGCAUGGAGGCACCCAAGGUCUUAGGAGGUGGAUGGACUGUCACAUGGGCAAAGAAAUGUCCCAGGGCAGGACUGCAAAGGCCACAGAAGAAUAAUUUGGGAGAGAGACAACCCAUGAGAAGUCACUCAGACCAGGGUCAGAAACAGAACAGGAACAACAAUGGA